GAAAUGCGAUAAGUAAUGUGAAUUGCAGAAUUCAGUGAAUCAUCGAAUCUUUGAACGCACCUUGCGCUCCUUGGUAUUCCUUGGAGCAUGCCUUUUUGAGUAUCAUGAAAUCUUCAAAGUAAAUCUUUUGUUAUCUCAAUUGGUUUCUACUUUGGUAUUGGAGGUCUUUGCAGCUUCACACCUGCUCCUCUUUGUUCAUUAGCUGGAUCUCAGUGUUAUGCUUGGUUCCACUCGGCGUGAUAAGUUAUCUAUCGCUGAGGACACUGUAAAAGGUGGCCAAGGUAAAUGCAGAUGAACCGCUUCUAAUAGUCCAUUGACUUGGACAAUACUUUUAUGAUCUGAUCUCAAAUCAGGUAGGACUACCCGCUGAACUUAAGC
rnacentral:misc_RNA from 1 species